UCCGGGCUGGGGCCGCACCGAGGAACUCCUCCGCUCAGGGAUCACCAGCGGCGCCGCCGGGCUGCAGAGGGCCGGCCGCUCUCUGCAGGAGCUCAUAGUCUCUCUGAUUAAGUGGUUCUCAACAGUUCAACAGUUCUUUGACAAAAUUGUGAAAUGUUUAGGACCACUUGACCAGUAAGACCAAUGCUGCCGCUCUGGGAAAGUCCUGCGUCGGCCUCGGAGCGGCUCUUACCGUCUGUGAAGAACCACUUUUGGAACUAUGUCUGGGCAUGUCUCCCUCUGAGUGUGUCACCUUGUGUUACCUUGUCUCGCUGCAGGUAGGGCAGCGACUGCCGCAAAGAAACACCCCUCACUCUUUUUACCCUGCCGGAUCACAGCUUGUUCUGUUUUUUUGGUUGUUUUUACAGCUUUCCAGUUAUUUUUUUUAUUGUUUUAUUUAUUUUUUUUAAUGUAUUUACAGUUGCUUUUUCAGAGGUGCUCAAUAAAAGAAUAAAGAAACGUUCACGUGUG